AAGAUCAUGCUUCACAGGAUCAGUUCUAGGAGUUGAUUUCAUUUUCCCUUCCUAAUAUGGGAGUAAACAUAACUACGAUGAGAAACUGUAGCGCUCUUCCUUCAGCAUAAGAAUGACAUGAGUCCUCGGCUUAUUUCGAAAUCUUUGUCAUCGAUGAUCGUUCAUCUUUUGCACUUAGUGCAAAGGAGAUGGGGAGCUGAGUUUUUUGAGUGU